rnacentral:rRNA from 1 species
UGGGGGAUAUUGCACAAUGGGGGAAACCCUGAUGCAGCAAUGCCGCGUGAAGGAAGAAGGUCUUCGGAUUGUAAACUUCUGUCCUAUGGGAAGAUAAUGACGGUACCAUAGGAGGAAGCUCCGGCUAACUACGUGCCAGCAGCCGCGGUAAUACGUAGGGAGCAAGCGUUGUCCGGAUUUACUGGGUGUAAAGGGUGCGUAGGCUGUUAUGUAAGUCAGCGGUGAAAUACCUAAGCUCAACUUAGGGGCUGCCGUUGAGACUGCAUAGCUGGAAUAUGGUUGCUGUUGGCGGAAUGUGUAGUGUAGCGGUGAAAUGCAUAGAUAUUACACAGAACACCGAUUGCGAAGGCAGCUGACAAAACCAUAAUUGACGCUGAUGCGCGAAAGUGUGGGGAUCAAACA